rnacentral:rRNA from 1 species
CAGUAGCCGCGGUAAUACGAAGGGUGCAAGCGUUACUCGGAAUUACUGGGCGUAAAGCGUGCGUAGGUGGUGGUUUAAGUCCGUUGUGAAAGCCCUGGGCUCAACCUGGGAAUUGCAGUGGAUACUGGGUCACUAGAGUGUGGUAGAGGAUAGUGGAAUUUCCGGUGUAGCAGUGAAAUGCGUAGAGAUCGGAGGGAACAUCUGUGGCGAAGGCGACUAUCUGGGCCAACACUGACACUGAGGCACGAAAGCGUGGGGAGCAAACAGGAUUAGAUACCCCAGUAGUCCCUGUCUCUUAUAC